rnacentral:rRNA from 1 species
UGGGGAAUCUUGCACAAUGGGCGAAAGCCUGAUGCAGCAACGCCGCGUGCGGGAAGACAGCCCUAGGGUUGUAAACCGCUUUCAGCAGGGAAGAAACUGACGGUACCUGCAGAAGAAGAUGCGGCCAACUACGUGCCAGCAGCCGCGGUGACACGUAGGCAUCAAGCGUUAUCCGGAUUUAUUGGGCGUAAAGAGCUCGUAGGCGGUUCGGUAAGUCGGGUGUGAAAACUCUGGGCUCAACCCAGAGAGGCCACUCGAUACUGCUGUGACUAGAGUGCGGUAGGGGAGCGGGGAAUUCCUGGUGUAGCGGUGAAAUGCGCAGAUAUCAGGAGGAACACCAGUGGCGAAGGCGCCGCUCUGGGCCGUAACUGACGCUGAGGAGCGAAAGCAUGGGUAGCAAACAGGAUUAGAUACCCUGGUAGUCCAUGCCGUAAACGUUGGGCACUAGGUGUGGGUCUCAACCGAACGAGAUCCGCGCCGUCGCUAACGCAUUAAGUGCCCGCCUGGGAGUACGGUCGCAAGAC